UCCCUGGUGGUCUAGUGGUUAGGACUCUGUGCUUUCAGGCAGAGCAUCUGGGUUUGAUCCCUGGCUAGGGAG
rnacentral:tRNA from 1 species